rnacentral:rRNA from 1 species
AACGAACGCUGGCGGCAUGCCUAACACAUGCAAGUCGAACGAGACCUUCGGGUCUAGUGGCGCACGGGUGCGUAACGCGUGGGAACCUGCCCUUAGGUUCGGAAUAACUCCCCGAAAGGGGUGCUAAUACCGGAUAAUGUCUUCGGACCAAAGAUUUAUCGCCUUUGGAUGGGCCCGCGUUGGAUUAGCUAGUUGGUAGUGUAAAAGCCUACCAAGGCGACGAUCCAUAGCUGGUCUGAGAGGAUGAUCAGCCACACUGGGACUGAGACACGGACCAGACUCCUACGGGAGGCAGCAGUAGGGAAUAUUGGAGAAGGGGCGAAAGCCUGAUACAGCAAUGCGGCGUGAGUGAUGAAGGGCUUAGGGUUGUAAAGCUCUUUUAGCCGGGAUGAUAAUGACAGUACCGGGAGAAUAAGCUCCGGCUAACUACGUG